GCAAUUCUCCUUGUGUGAACUGGCAAGGGCUAGAUGCCACUCAGACCCUGGAGAAACUGAGCAAAGAGAAAAGAGAGGUUAAACCUUCAGAGGUGGGAAGGUUGUGAGAGUUCAGGGCAUAUUCCUGGAGGUGAGUAUAGCUGAGCACUGAUGGUGUGGUUGGGUGAAAGCUGGAUAACAGAAGGUCAAGAAGAAAAGAGCACUAAAGAUCAUCUACUCCAAAUUCCCUCUUUAUACAGGGGAGAGAUCUGAAGCUUAGGGUGGGGAAGGGAUAGCCCACAGUUACAUUGCUAGUUAGUAGUAGAGCUAAAACUGGAACCCAAGUCUCUGGACUCUUGAGAGUAGUUUUGAAUCCUGGCAGCUCAUUAGAAAAAUCUAGUCUAGAAAAUUUCUCUUAAAGAGCAAAAAGCUAAGUAUGGGAAGCAAGACUCAUGUGAACCCAGAUCUGUUUGGACUGGUUUAUUCCUAUCCCAAAUACCUGCACUUGUGUAGCCUCUGAUUACAGGGGCUUAAGCUUGUGAGUUCAGUGCCAGCAGACAACUUUCUCAUUCUUUAGAAGGCCAUUCCAACAAAAAGUGGGCUAGCUGCCUCUGGAAACAUUUAGGUCCAGUUUUGCUAGGAAGCAAACAAUCAUGUGGGGGCUGUUUCUAUUGCAGGGUGGGGAAGAAGGGGGUUGAGGUGUGAGGUUGGGGAGGAGACUGUCCCCAUCGCAUGCUUUGGGAAUCUUCCCUCUUGCUGCCAACUGUACAGUGACUCUGAAAAGCAUCUGAAAGAGGAGGAGGAGGAGGCUCCGUUCACACAUGAAAGGCUAAGACUCACUUAGGUUAUAACACACACUCACCCAUAAUUACCCCAUAUUCCUCUAAAUUGUCCACACCAUGAUGGACAGAUCCCCCCUUCCCGCCACAAUUUUCCCUAAAGUUGUGGACCUCUGAUGACCUCGAAACUGAUCUAACAUAGUAAUUUUGUUCUGGGGUACCUGGCCCACUCCAUCUUCUUCUGUGAUCUGUCUUGGAUUGUAAGCCCUACUGAAGGGACCAGCUGGACUGCCUUAUGUGUUCUAUGUGACCAUCCAGCUACAGCUGGUUGGACCAGAAUCAGAUCCUGUCUCAAUGUUGAACAAUCUAUUGGCUGGUCAGCAGCCAAUCAGAUUCACCCUCUUGAGAAUUUCAAGUAUGUGUUGCACAGCCAGAAUGCAAUCAGAGCUCAAAGGUUACUGAGGGUUGGGAACUUUACCUACAAUCAAUGCUGUAAACAGGCUGAAGUCAUUAAGAGGCAGAGAUGCUUCUUGAACAAGCUGCAGAGAGAAAAAUGGCCCAAAUGUAUGAACAGAUGAGACCAUAGAGACACCAUAGAGGCCCCAGAGAAAGAGAAUCAAAGAGAGGGACUAUAAGUCAUUUCAAAGAGGGCUUGGAUGGCUAUGAAACCAGAGCUCUUAAGGUUAUAAUAAGAUUGAAAUUUUCCAUAGGAUGCUGUAGUCACACAAUAGUGCUGUUUUCUUGAGGAGACAGAAGACUUAGCCACUCAUAAUCAUGACAUCUCAUUCAUAAUAAUCCAUGAUUGGAGGUGUGGGAAAGUGAAUAGGUAUCUUACAGUUAGGGUGAGAGAGGAAAAGAGAAAAAGAGGGGUUGGGGAGAGAGAGACAGAGAGAGGAUACCUUGAGCCCUAACAGUUCAGAUUUCCCAGAUGCAAUUUUCAAAAUGAUACUGGCUGCACUUUAUUUCCAUGAGCUGUCUUAGAACCUUACAAUGACUACCUUGUUCAUUUUGGUUUGCUUUUCUGUCCUUUGCAUGCAGUAAAUUCAUCCUAAAAUUCAUUUAUCUAAAUGUAAUCUGAUUUCCUUGUAUUAUAAAAAUGCUCACUCCCAAGUCUCCAAGGGAUAGUCCUGGAGUUGGUUGUGGUGUCUAUGUAAAUCUCCGCAGUUCCCCUGACAAUUGGCCUUGGCAGAAUGAAAGACCAUUAAGAAGCUGAGCAAGGAGAGGAAGGAGGAAAGCUUCACCUCUGUAACUGCAUAUAAUGUUUCCUGGAGAAAAAUGGACCCAGGAGCUGAAAGAGGGCAUCUAGUUAGAGCUACAGAGUGCCUUUCAUUGACCUGGUGUGGUCCCUAGAGAGAAAGUGCUGUGUGUUUCCUCAACUGGUUCCUUUACUCAUUUAUUGUACAUAGAUAUGGGCCUGACCCUAGGCUUGGUGCUAAGGAAGCAGAUAAAUACAACACUAAACCUUCACUAAAUCAUGAGUUUCUGCUCAUGGUUUAGUGGAGACACUUUGGCAUUCUAUUGGUACUGCAACAAAACAGUCUGCCUUCUGUGAGAGUUAUUUAUCUCUGUGUCAGUCUCUUCUUUGAGACGAAGAGUCUGGAAAGAACAGGGACCCUGGGUUAUCAUCUCUCCUUCCCUCCGCUGACACUAAUGCCGAGCCUGGCACUCAAAAACUGACCAGAGAAUUGGCUACCAGGUUUGGGCUGUGGAUUUGAACUGUGUUGCUCCUCCCUGCCCACUGAUGGCCACCCUGGCCCUCUCCAGCAAAUCGUGGAACUAUGUGCUCCUGGUCACAGUGGGAGGCUAAGGAGCAUUGAGGAAUGUGGGUGAAACCACUCAAAUUCAUUCUGGGGGAAGAGCUCAAAGCACAUGCCCACUGGAUAUGGGUGAGUGGUGUCUGUAGGGAGGUGCCCUGGAACUUAUAGAUAAAGCCACUCACCUAGGAGUAGAGCAGGUAGCAAAACUAGUUGUCUCUAAGUUCUCUGGAUGCCCUGAGUUUUCUGAGGGAGUCAUCCAAAUUUCAGAGUCUGCACUGGUGGUAGAGAGGUCUCAAAACACUCCCAGAACCAACCCAGGAACAUAAGGAGCUUCCUUAGGACUAAAACGUUAUUAAGAACUUAAUGUGGAAGUCAUAGACAGAGCAAUCAGGCAACAGAAAGAAAUAAAAGGCAUCCAAAUUGGAAAAGAGGAAGUCAAAUUAUUUCUGUUCACUGAUGAUAUGAUCUUAUAUCUAGAAAGCCCUAAAGACUCCUCCGAAAAACUCUUAGAUUUGAUAAAUAAAUUCAGUAAAAUUUCAGGAUACAAAAUCAACAUACAAAAAUCAGUAGCAUUUCUAUAUGCCAAUAAAACUCAAGCUGAGAAGCAAAUCCAGAACACAAUCCCAUUUACAAUAGCCACCAAAACAAAAUUACCUAGGAAUAUAUUUAACCAAGGAGGUAAUACUAUUCAGCCAUGAAAAAGAAUGAAAUCCCAAUGAGGAAAACUACAAAACACUGAUGAAAGAAACUGUAGAUGAUAUAAACAAAUAGAAAAAUAACUCAUGCUCAUAGAUUGAAAGAAUUAAUAUUGUUAAAAUGACCAUACUGCCCAAAGCAAUCUACAGAUUCAGUGCAAUCCUUAUCAAAAUGCCAUUGUCAUUUUUCACAGAAUUAGAAAAAACAAGCCUAAAAUUCAUAUGAGACCUAAAAAGAGCCCAAAUAGCCAAAGCAAUCCUAAGCAAAAAUAGCAAAGCUGGAGCCAUUACAUUAUCUGACCUCAAAUUAUACUACUGGGCUAUAGCAAACAAAACAGCAUGGCAUGAUCAUAAAAAUAGACACAAAGAUCAAUAGAACAGAAUUUAAAAACCCAGAAAUAAAGCCACAUACCUACAGCCAACUGAUCUUUGAAAAUGUCAACAAAAAUAUACACGAGGGAAAGGAUACCCUUUUCAAUAAAUGGUGCUGGGGAAAUUGGAUUGCUAUAUGCAGAAGAAUAAAACUGGACCCCUGUCCCUCACCAUAUACAAAAAUCAAUUCAAGAUGGAUAAAUACUUAAAUGUAAGGCCUGAAACUACAAAAAUACUAGAAGAAAACCUAGGGCAAACUCUUCUGGACAUUGGUCUAGGCGAAGAAUUCAUGACUAAGACCUCAAAAGCACAAGCAAUAAAAACAAAAAUAGACAACUAGAACUUAACUGAAAUGUUUCUGCGCAGCAAAAGAAAUAAUCAACAGAGUGAACAGACAACAUGCAGAAUGGAAGAAAAUAUUUGCAAACUAUGCAUCUAGUAGGAUACUGAUGUCCAGAAUUUACAAGGAACUCAAACAACAACAAAAGCAAAAAACAAAUAACCCCAUUAAAAAGUGGGCAAAGGAAAUGAAUAGACAUUUUCAAAAGAAGACAUACAAAUGGCCAAGAAGCAUAGGAAAAAAAUGGUCAACAUCACUAAUCAUCAGGUUUUAAUGCAAAUCAAAACCACAAUGAAGUAUCAUCUUAUACUAAUCAGAAUAGUUAUUAUUAAAAAGUCAAAAAAAUAGAUGUUGGUGAGGAUGCAGAGAACAAGGAAUGCUUAUACACUAUUGGUGGGAAUGCAAAUUAGUACAACCUCUAUGGAAAACAGUAUGGCUAUUUCUCAAAGAACUAAAAAUAGAACUACCAUUUGAUCCAGCACUUCUACUACUGGUUAUCUACCCAAAGGAGAAGAAAUCAUUAUAUAAAAAAGAUACUUGCAUUUGUAUGUUUAUCACAAUAGCAAAAAUAGGGAAUCAACCUGAGUGUCCAUCAAUGGAGGACUGGAUAAAGAAAAUGUGAUAUGUAUAUACCACGGAAUACUAUUCAGCCACUUAAAAAAGAAUGAAAUCAGCUGGAUGUCCCUGUAAUCCCAGCACUUUGGGAGGCCGAGGCGGGUGGAUCAUGAGGUCAGGAGAUCGAGACCAUUCUGGCUAACACAGUGAAACCCCGUCUCUACUAAAAAUACAAAAAAUUAGCCAGGCAUGGUGGCACACGCCUCUAGUCCCAACUACUCAGGAGGCUG
rnacentral:lncRNA from 10 species